rnacentral:lncRNA from 1 species
AUGCAAUCAGCUGCUGCAAGAUGGAGAGAAUUCAAGUCUCGUCUGACAAAUGUAUACAUUGUGCCUUAACUUGGAUAAGCCAGAAAUGCUGAAGUAUCCUCCACAAGACUACAAGUUCAUCAAUGCAGAUCAUUGGACGCAAUUUGUGACUGAGCGGACUAAGCUGGCAUUUCUUGUAAGUAGUUAAGCGAACAGUGUUAUUAAUUACUAAUCAAGUGUUUUAUUACCAGGGUCCCUCAUCAGUGCCUAUGUUUACUUGAUCAGGAAUUGCGUAAGACUCAACAGGCACGCCGCAGGAUGAACAAGUAUCCCCACCGACUGUCCCGCAAAGGCUACGUUGGGCUGGUGGCAGAGUUGAAGGCAAAAGCCGAGCCGGCACAAGCUGAGCCGGUAAGUCUAGCAUAUUUGUUUAUAUUAUGUAAAAUGAAAUGGUUGAUCUGAAUGCUAGGAGAAAAUUUAAUUAUGACGUUUUGGUAACAAGUGCUUAUAAAUGCCAGGAAGAGGCUUCAACAAUAACGGAUGAAGAUGAGCUGUACGACAGGUGUGAGACAUGGAUUGCUGCACGUGUUACAAAGGAGGGCAAAUUUGCAGAUGAAGAAACACAAAAGAAGGCUGAAGAGAUCGUGAGUGCAUGCAUUUUACUAAAGUUCAUUGUGGACAGAUUUCAAUUGUCAUGCUAAAUUUUAAUGAAGUUUGCAGCAACACAUUUUAAUUGUGAUGCUAAAUUUUAAUUUUGUGAACAGAUUGAGUUGAAGGAGAAGGUUUCUACUGGAGAAACUAGCCUAAGUGGGUAUAAUGAUGUCUUGGAGAAGGCUUUGGGGAAGGAGCAUGGUGGCCGAGUGCGAGGGGUUGCCGGCUUUGUCAACCCAACAACCUACUUUCACCUCCCUAGACGUACCAGCAGACAAAGCAUAGAAGAAACGAUUAAAAUCAGCCUGGAAAAAGUACUGGCUGAGAAAACGGCAAAGAUCAUAGAAGAGACAAGGAAGAAAACAAUGCAUUUUGGGCAUGAAGUUUGAAACUUACAAGUCACAGUUUGUUCCAGUUAAUGGUAAUGGGGGACAAGCAGGUAGUAGUCCAGUUGGACUAGAGAAGCCCAUCCCACCUGUUUCUGGGCAAGCUAGCUGUUCAAACACCGCUGAUCUCUUUGAAAAUGAUAUGCAUGACCAAGUGCAAGCCCCCAAUGCACAAGCUGAAAUUGAAGAAGUCACUGGGAAGAAUAUCAAAGGCCAAGUCGAAGUGAAUGGCCAAGUGGAAGGGAAUGACGAACCUGGGGUGAAGUCAACCUUAAUUUUCAAGUGUCUUGAAGCAAUGGAGGUGAAUGAAGUUGCUAAAAAGAAAACUUUAAACAAGAGGAGGCGGUGCGAACCCAAGUUUACGCAACCUGAAGAAGUGUUUGGUCAGGAGAUAGCAGAGACUGAUUGCAAGGCAGCCGAGGAAGAUGUACUUCUGAAAACCAAUGAUGCUGAUACGCAAAUUAAACGACCAAAGGUAUCAAAUAUUGUUGCCUAAACUUUUUUAUUCCUUGAGUAAGAUAUAUAGCAAAGCAUUACUGUUUAACAUGUAAAUUCUGUUAUCACUACAUCUCUCAGGUAACUUGUGAGGAAGUUCCGGUGAUGUUGGCAUUAGGUUCACUUGAUAACAUUGUAGCUACAGGCACAGCAAUGAAAACUGAUGACCCAGAUGAACUUUGUCAUGGUUAUCCAUUAGGGGACCAAAAUGUACGUGUCUCGAUAGAGAUAGCAAAGCAGGAGUACGCCAAAGUUCCAUUUCCUGUGGGCGAUGAUAUAAAAACUGUUAGACAAGCCAUGGGGAGUUGGAUAGCAUGGCCGGACCAUCUUGUUAUCUAUACACCUGUCUCACCAUUGGAGGUAAGUAUUAUUAGAAUUGUAAUCCAGUAUUUCAUAAGGUAGGUUGAAAAAAGGUACAAGUUUAUGUCAUUGCAAGAUUAGAAAACCUUAUAUAUUGUCUGUUUAUGUGUAGCAACCUCAGAAGAAGAGGGAAAAGAGAGGGGUACCUGUCGAGAUUAUUGACCUGAAGGCAGAUGCACUUAAUGCACCAAUCCAGUUGAAGAUGUUGUGCAUGUGAGGUGUAGAUGAGCUCAAAAAUUAUAAGAGUCUUGAGUUUUUUAUUGAGCCUGAGGUGUUUGGAUACACUCGGAAAUCAUGGAUAUUUGAUUCUGAUUUGCACAGAAUGGCAAGCAUGACAGAGAUCACUGGGAACUGCAUAGUGGCAUAUCAAAGGUAAUAUUUGCUGUCAAAUGGACUAUUCUUGGUGUAUCCAUGUGAAUUUAGUUGCUGAUUAGAAUCUGGAUGUUAUAUUGGGUUUUUAGGUACCUGUAUGAUGUCCUGAAAAACACCAAAAUGCUGGAUAUGAUUGCCUUUGUUGACCCUGCUAUGGUUGGAGAAAGCUGUGGAACAGUAAGGAGUAAGGCUGAACACUUAUGUGUUAGGUUCAUAACCUCAAAACCUGGACAGCUUUUCAUGGUGCCAUAUAACUCAGAGUAAGUGGCUAUAACUCAGAGUAUUUUUUAUUUUUUUAUUUUAUUCAUGAGCCUUAUUUGAUCAAAAUCUAGUAACUUUGUCAUACAGUCAGCAUUGGGUGCUUACUGUUGUGGAGCCGGAAAAAGAAAAGGUGUAUUACAUGGAUCCUCUGAGGAGGCGGUUACCUAUAGCCUCGGCAGAAUGGAAGUCUGUUAUCAACAGGUAACUUGUAACAAAACUAUAUAUGCAUGCACCGAGAUUUAUGGAAUAAUGUUUUCUCUGGUUCAGCUUUUCAUGAUGCAGUCUCAUUGUGUUUGGUUAUGUUUUAGNGCAAUAGCCAAGUAUAAUAACAGAAAAGGGCAGGCCAAGCCUAAAUGCAGUUGCUUGGAAGAACCGUUGGGGUAUGUACGUAANNNNNNNNNNNNNNNNNNNNUUUACCUAAUGUAUGUGGUUUAUGUUACNGUUUUUGCAAGGAAACACUAAUUUUAAUUCACUGCCUCUCUUUUGUUGGUAAUUGCAGUGAGCACUUGGAGUUCUUGAAACAAGAGUUUCCAAGAUUCCGCAAGGAUCAAAAGUGGCUCACGGACAAGCAAAACAAGACAUUUGCUGACUGGGUGAAACAGAAGGCAAGUUCCAAACAAGUGAUUUGUUAUUUUUACAUAUAAACUUGUAAUCUAAAGUUGUAUCUUAAUUAAUUGUUAAUGUGUUAUGAUAUUGUAGGUUGCUGACCAAAUGAGUGAAUCAACUGCUAACAUCCCUGAAAUUGUGAGAUGGCUUUCAGAUAAGUCGAGCAAUGAAGUUCUUAGUUACAAUGGCUAUAAAAUAAGUGGAACUCUAUAUACCACAAAGGGGAAAGAUGAUGUCUGAUCGACACAAAACAGUGGUGUGUACUUGGUGAGUGCAUGCAUUUUACUAAAGUUCAUUGUGGACAGAUUUCAAUUGUCAUGCUAAAUUUUAAUGAAGUUUGCAGCAACACAUUUUAAUUGUGAUGCUAAAUUUUAAUUUUGUGAACAGAUUGAGUUGAAGGAGAAGGUUUCUACUGGAGAAACUAGCCUAAGUGGGUAUAAUGAUGUCUUGGAGAAGGCUUUGGGGAAGGAGCAUGGUGGCCGAGUGCGAGGGGUUGCCGGCUUUGUCAACCCAACAACCACCUUUCACCUCCCUAGACGUACCAGCAGACAAAGCAUAGAAGAAACGAUUAAAAUCAGCCUGAAAAAAGUAUUGGCUGAGCAAACGACAAUGAUCAUAGAAGAGACAAGGAAGAAAACAAUUGAAGAAAACAAUGCAUUUUGGGCCAUGAAGUUUGAAACUUACAAGUCACAGUUUGUUCCAGUUAAUUGUAAUGGGGGACAAGCAGGUAGUAGUCCAGUUGGACUAGAGAAGCCCAUCCCACCUGUUUCUGGGCAAGCUAGCUGUUCAAACACCGCUGAUCUCUUUGAAAAUGAUAUGCAUGACCAAGUGCAAGCCCCCAAUGCACAAGCUGAAAUUGAAGAAGUCACUGGGAAGAAUAUCAAAGGCCAAGUCGAAGUGAAUGGCCAAGUGGAAGGGAAUGACGAACCUGGGGUGAAGUCAACCUUAAUUUUCAAGUGUCUUGAAGCAAUAGAGGUGAACGAAGUUGCUAAAAAGAAAACUUCAAACAAGAGGAGGCGGUGCGAACCCAAGUUUACGCAACCUGAAGAAGUGUUUAGUCAGGAGAUAGCAGAGACUGAUUGCAAGGCAGCCGAGGAAGAUGUACUUCUGAAAACCAGUGAUGCUGAUACGCAAAUUAAACGACCAAAGGUAUCAAAUAUUGUUGCCUAAACUUUUUUAUUCCUUGAGUAAGAUAUAUAGCAAAGCAUUACUGUUUAACAUGUAAAUUCUGUUAUUACUACAUCUCUCAGGUAACUUGUGAGGAAGUUCCGGUGAUGUUGGCAUUAGGUUCACUUGAUAACAUUGUAGCUACACACAACAAUGAAAACUGAUGACCCAGAUGAACUUUGUCAUGGUUAUCCAUUAGGGGACCAAAAUGUACGUGUCUCGAUAGAGAUAGCAAAGCAGGAGUACGCCAAAGUUCCAUUUCCUGUGGGCGAUGAUAUAAAAACUGUUAGACAAGCCAUGGGGAGUUGGAUAGCUUGGCCGGACCAUCUUGUUAUCUAUACACCUGUCUCACCAUUGGAGGUAAGUAUUAUUAGAAUUGUAAUCCAGUAUUUCAUAAGGUAGGUUGAAAAAGGGUACAAGUUUAUGUCAUUGCAAGAUUAGAAAACCUUAUAUAUUGUCUGUUUAUGUGUAGCAACCUCAGAAGAAGAGGGAAAAGAGAGGGGUACCUGUCGAGAUUAUUGACCUGAAGGCAGAUGCACUUAAUGCACCAAUCCAGUUGAAGAUGUUGUGCAUGUGGGGUGCAGAUGAGCUCAAAAAUGAUAAGAGUCUUGAGUUUUUUAUUGAGCCUGAGGUGUUUGGAUACACUCGGAAAUCAUGGAUAUUUGAUUCUGAUUUGCACAGAAUGGCAAGCAUGACAGAGAUCAUUGGGAACUGCAUAGUGGCAUAUCAAAGGUAAUAUUUGCUGUCAAAUGGACUAUUCUUGGUGUAUCCAUGUGAAUUUGGUUGCUGAUUAGAAUCUGGAUGUUAUAUUGGGUUUUUAGGUACCUAUAUGAUGUCCUGAAAAACACCAAAAUGCUGGAUAUGAUUGCCUUUGUUGACCCUGCUAUGGUUGGAGAAAGUUGUAGAACAGUAAGGAGUAAGGCUGAACACUUCUGUGCUAGGUUCAUAACCUCAAAACCUGGACAGCUUUUCAUGGUGCCAUAUAACUCAGAGUAAGUGGCUAUAACUCAGAGUAUUUUUUAUUUUUUUAUUUUAUUCAUGAGCCUUAUUUGAUCAAAAUCUGGUAACUUUGUCAUACAGUCAGCAUUGGGUGCUUACUGUUGUGGAGCCGGAAAAAGAAAAUGUGUAUUACAUGGAUCCCCUGAAGAGGUGGUUACCUAUAGCCUCGGCAGAAUGGAAGUCUGUUAUCAAUAGGUAACUUGUAACAAAACUAUAUAUGCAUGCACCGAGAUUUAUGGAAUAAUGUUUUCUUCUGGUUCAGCUUUUCAUGAUGCAGUCUCAUUGUGUUUGGUUUAUGUUUUAGUGCAAUAGCCAAGUAUAAUACAGAAAAGGGCAAGCCAAGCCUAAAUGCAGUUUCUUGGAAGAACCUUGGGGUAUGUAAAUAUUGCUUUAAUUUGUUGGAUUUCUGGAUUGUUUCUUAUCAAGUGUACGUACUUGGAUUAGGGUAUGACAAUGGUGGUGGAAUUUGAAAAUUGAAAAUCAGUUAUAGGUAA